rnacentral:rRNA from 1 species
AGCUUGCUCCCUGAUGUUAGCGGCGGACGGGUGAGUAACACGUGGGUAACCUGCCUGUGAGACUGGGAUAACUCCGGGAAACCGGGGCUAAUACCGGAUGGUUGUUUGAACCGCAUGGUUCAGACAUAAAAGGUGGCUUCGGCUACCACUUACAGAUGGACCCGCGGCGCAUUAGCUAGUUGGUGAGGUAACGGCUCACCAAGGCGACGAUGCGUAGCCGACCUGAGAGGGUGAUCGGCCACACUGGGACUGAGACACGGCCCAGACUCCUACGGGAGGCAGCAGUAGGGAAUCUUCCGCAAUGGACGAAAGUCUGACGGAGCAACGCCGCGUGAGUGAUGAAGGUUUUCGGAUCGUAAAGCUCUGUUGUUAGGGAAGAACAAGUGCCGUUCAAAUAGGGCGGCACCUUGACGGUACCUAACCAGAAAGCCACGGCUAACUACGUGCCAGCAGCCGCGGUAAUACGUAGGUGGCAAGCGUUGUCCGGAAUUAUUGGGCGUAAAGGGCUCGCAGGCGGUUUCUUAAGUCUGAUGUGAAAGCCCCCGGGUCAACCGGGGAGGGUCAUUGGAAACUGGGGAACUUGAGUGCAGAAAAGGAAAGUGGAAUUCCACGUGUAGCGGGGAAAUGCGUAAAGAUGUGGAGGAACACCAGUGGCGAAGGCGACUCUCUGGGCUGUAACUGACGCUGAGGAGCGAAAGCGUGGGGAGCGAACAGGAUUAGAUACCCCGGUAGUCCACGCCGUAAACGAUGAGUGCUAAGUGUUAGGGGGUUUCCGCCCCUUAUUGCUGCGGCUAACGCAUUAAGCACUCCCCCUGGGGA